rnacentral:lncRNA from 1 species
CUGUGACUGGUCUCGUUACGUGAGCUACCGGAGAUGAUUUGACUCAUCUCAACCUGCUUGUUUUUUCUUUAAUGAAAUGUGUUAGACCAGACUGCUCCACUCGACAUUUGGAGAAUUGGCAUGAAAGGCGGAGUUUCAACUGGAUCAGGGCGGGAUCAAAUUAAAGAAUUUCAGUAGCACCAAUCAAACGUAAACUUACUCAACUCUGAGUUGUUGCAAUGACGAUGUGAUUGUACUGUUUUGAAUGGAAAUGUGAUUGUUAACACGGUGGAUUAUGUGACUCAGCAAAUAUUAGGCUGUGAGUGCACACCCUAACGGUUUCAUGACUUGCAGGAACCUCAUCCUAAGAACAAGUGUGUGUAAAUCUUCACCAUGUGACCUUGAUCGCUGACUCCUUGGAAAAACCCAGCAGCCAAGAUGAAACAGAAGAGGACUGCUAACUGCAGCACACUCAUCUCUCUUGUGGAGAGUAAUAAGCAUUUGUGCACACAUCCACACACCUACGAUACAUACACACGUAUUUGUAUACAUCACAGACACACGUGACGUGCAUAACUGGACAUGUUGACCCCCCUGAACAAAACAUUUUUGGGGGGUUUUAAAUUCCUCUACAGUACUUAGUGUAGUUGUAGGCCUAAUGUAUGUACAUACUUGUUAAUACUUACUGUAAGUAUGUUGUUUAAAUCAAUGAACCUGUUAUGUAUGUUCUCUUGAGCUACUACACAUAAAACAAAACUCCAGCUAUUUUACUUUUCCUGUUGAAAAUAUCCCAAGUAUCCCAAGUAUAAAUACAUUAAUGUACACACAUUUAAAUUCAAGGAGUUGGCCAUUCAAGAAGUUUGCAGAGGUUGGUAGUUAAUGUAUUGUGCACGUUCUGAUGCAUGUCAGUCAUACAUCACUCAGGUGGUUGCUACACACUGGUGGUGAAUGAGUAACUCAUACUUAUGACUGUAUAAAUGCAAUCCAUUAUUGUUAUCAUCCUCUCAGCCACACCUCCUGAUCUCAGCCAAUCCGUGAGCAGGCAGAAAUAUCCCCUCUCUGAAAGACUACCCCCCUGGGAUGUUGUUAUUGGAAUGAGGUUGCCACUUGAAGCCUUUUACUAUGCCCCUGCUACUGUUACCCCAUAGUGCCCCUCCUCAGCCCCAUGGUUUGUUUUCCAACCUAACCUUGGAUUGCAUCAUGUGGUCCUGGCCCUACUGAGUAGCAGCCAAUCCCUUUACAUAAUGUUUGCUGCAGUUUAAGGCCCAAGUAUAUGGGCCAAAAUACACUGAGGGCCCGGGGAGAGGGAAGGAGAGAGAACACAGUCACAAGAUGUUCCUGUUCUCAUAAACAAGUCCUACAAGGAAACUAGCACAUACAGUAGCAAGUGUUUCAUGGCCACAUAGUAAUAAUAGGUAAACAACCAAAAGAACAUGGUCUACAGGUUUGGGUCAUAGCAAUAAUUCAACAUAUUUUGCACAACCAUUAAAUAAACAGAUCAAUUAUUUUGGGUGUGGCAUAGGCUACAGUGCCUUCAGAAAGUUUUCAUCCCCCUUUACUUUCCCCACAUUUUAUUGUCUUACAGCCUGAAUUUAAAAUAGAUUUUGUGUCACUGAUCUACAUACAAUACCGCAUCAUGUAAAAGUGGAAUUUGAAAUGUCUUGAGUCAAUGAGUAUUCAACCCCUUUGUUAUGGCGUGCCUAAAUAAGUUCAGGGGGUAAAACUGUGCUUAAUAAAUCACAUAAUAAGUUGCAUGGACUCAUUCUAUGUUCAAUAAAAGUGGUUAAAAUAUUUUUUUAUGAAUACCCCAUCUCUGUUGCCCACGCAUACAAUUAUCUGUAAGGUCCCUCGAUCGAGUAGUGGAUUUCAAGCACAGAUUCCGCCACAAAGACCAGGGAAGUUUUUUAAUGACUUGUAAAGAAGGGCACCGAUUGGUAGAUGUGUAAAAAAUAAAUAAAAAGCAGCCGCUGAAUAUCCCUUUGAGCAUGGUGAAGUUAUUAAUUAAACAAAUGGAAUACAGUUAAGCACAGGCAAAAUACUAGAGGAAAACCUGGUUCAGUCUCCUUUCCAACAGACACUGGGAGACAAAUUCACCUUUCAAUAGGACAACAACCUAAAACACAAGGCCAAAUCUACACUGGAGUUGCUUACCAAGAUGACAUUGAAUGUUCCUGAGUGGCCUAGUUACAGUUCUGACCUAAGUCAGCUUGAAAAUCUAUGGCAAGACUUCAAAAUGGCUUUCUAAUAAUGAUCAACAACCAACUUGACAGAGCUUGAAGAAUAAAACCAAAAAAUGAUGGGCAAAUAUUGUACAAUCCAAGUGUGCAAAGUUCUUAGAGACUUAACUAAAAAGACACAGCUGUAAUCGCUGUAAUCUCUAAGAUGUAUUGUCUCAGGGGGUUGAAUACUUAACUAGUUGUAUUUUUCAAACAUUUUAAUAAAUGUUAGAAAUGUUCUUCCACUUUGACAUUAUAGAGUAUUUUGUGUAGAUUGUUGACCAAAGAUGAUACUUAAAUCAAUUUUAAUCCCACUUUAUAACACAACAAAAUGCGGAAAAAGUCAGUGGGUAUGAAUACUUUCUGUGAAGGCACUGCAUGUAAUGAGUAAUUUUAUAGAACUUGCUAAAGCUCGUUCUUAAACAUUGUGAGAAAGCAAUCCAUUGCACAUGAUCAAAAUAAAUUGGGUCCCUCUUUUACUCAUUGUGUCAAUGUUGCUUAGGCCUAACGGGAAGAUACAGUAGCUAAUUUGAAAAUGAGAGACAAUUGAUUGCCUGUGUACCACCUCCUCAGCAAUUUCUGAAACGUGCGAUGCUAGGUCACGACUCACUAGAUAACAUGCCAUAGAUGUGUAGUGUGAAGAUAUGAAGGCGACGCGUCAUUUUGAGCCCCACAUUGUUAGCUAAAAAAAAUACAUAUAUUGUUUUGCAUGUUAUUUUGGCAUUAAUACG